GGCUGCUUCCUACUCCCAUGUUAAGAAGCAUAAUCUAGAAAGAUCUGCAGAGCCUUCUUCAAACAGAAGUGUUAGUCACAGAUGCCGUGCGCGAAAUUCGGAAGUAUGAUGAUGUGACGGAAAAGGUGAACCUCCAGAACAAUCCCGGGGCCAUGGAGCACUUCCACAUGAAGCUUUUCCGUGCCCAGAGGAAUCUCUACAUUG
rnacentral:lncRNA from 1 species